rnacentral:tRNA from 1 species
GGGCAGGUGGCCGAGCGGUUUAAGGCAACGGUCUUGAAAACCGUCGUGGGGGAAACUCCACCGUGGGUUCGAAUCCCACCCUGCCCGCCA